rnacentral:rRNA from 1 species
GAUGAACGCUGGCGGCGUGCCUAAUACAUGCAAGUUGAGCGAACGGACGAGAAGCUUGCUUCUCUGAUGUUAGCGGCGGACGGGUGAGUAACACGUGGAUAACCUACCUAUAAGACUGGGAUAACUUCGGGAAACCGGAGCUAAUACCGGAUAAUAUUUUGAACCGCAUGGUUCAAAAGUGAAAGACGGUCUUGCUGUCACUUAUAGAUGGAUCCGCGCUGCAUUAGCUAGUUGGUAAGGUAACGGCUUACCAAGGCAACGAUGCAUAGCCGACCUGAGAGGGUGAUCGGCCACACUGGAACUGAGACACGGUCCAGACUCCUACGGGAGGCAGCAGUAGGGAAUCUUCCGCAAUGGGCGAAAGCCUGACGGAGCAACGCCGCGUGAGUGAUGAAGGUCUUCGGAUCGUAAAACUCUGUUAUUAGGGAAGAACAUAUGUGUAAGUAAAUAUGCACAUCUUGACGGUACCUAAUCAGAAAGCCACGGCUAACUACGUG